UGCCUGUCUAUGUAAAACCUCUUCCCCCUCCUGUGCCUAUCUAUAAGCCUCCUGUAUAUGUAAAACCUCUCCCUCCUCCAGUGCCUAUCUAUAAGCCACCUGUUUACGUGAAACCUCACCCUCCUCUUGUGCCUGUUUAUAAACCACCUGUAUACGUGAAACCUCACCCUCCUCCUGUGCCUGUCUAUAAACCACCUGUAUAUGUGAAACCUCACCCUCCUCCUGUGCCUGUCUAUAAGCCUCCUAUUAUUCCAGUUACUAAACCGCUUCCACCACCGGUUCCGUUCAAGAAACCAUGUCCACCAAAGAUUGAGCAUCCAAUUCUACCACCUGUUCCAAUAUAUAAACCUCCAAUAGUUCCAAAGCCACCGGUGGUUCCGAUCGUCAAGCCACUUCCUCCUCCAGUUCCAAUUUACAAACCACCAGUUGUCACUAAACCUUUUCCUCCAUUCAAGAAACCACCAUGUCCACCAAAGAUUGAGCAUCCAAUUCUACCACCUGUUCCAAUAUAUAAACCUCCAGUAGUUCCAAAACCACCGGUGGUUCCGAUCGUCAAGCCACUUCCUCCUCCAGUUCCAAUUUACAAACCACCAGUUGUCACUAAACCCUUUCCUCCAUUCAAGAAACCACCAUGUCCACCUCUUCCCAAGCUCCCUCCAAAGCCAUUUUUCCAUCACCCCAAGUUUGGAAAAUGGCCUCCAAAGCCUUUUUUCCAUCACCCCAAGUUUGGAAAAUGGC
rnacentral:lncRNA from 1 species